AGAGUUUGAUCCUGGCUCAGGAUGAACGCUAGCUACAGGCUUAACACAUGCAAGUCGAGGGGAAACGAUAUUGGAAGCUUGCUUCCGAUAGGCGUCGACCGGCGCACGGGUGAGUAACGCGUAUCCAACCUGCCCAUCACUUGGGAAUAACCUUGCGAAAGUAAGACUAAUGCCCAAUGACAUUUAUAGAAGGCAUCGGAAAUGAAUUAAAGAUUUAUCGGUGAUGGAUGGGGAUGCGUCUGAUUAGCUUGUUGGCGGGGUAACGGCCCACCAAGGCGACGAUCAGUAGGGGUUCUGAGAGGAAGGUCCCCCACAUUGGAACUGAGACACGGUCCAAACUCCUACGGGAGGCAGCAGUGAGGAAUAUUGGUCAAUGGGCGAGAGCCUGAACCAGCCAAGUAGCGCGCAGGAUGACGGCCCUAUGGGUUGUAAACUGCUUUUAUAGGGGAAUAAAGCGAGCCACGUGUGGUUUUUUGCAUGUACCCUAUGAAUAAGGACCGGCUAAUUCCGUGCCAGCAGCCGCGGUAAUACGGAAGGUCCGGGCGUUAUCCGGAUUUAUUGGGUUUAAAGGGAGCGUAGGCCGGAGAUUAAGCGUGUUGUGAAAUGUAGAUGCUCAACAUCUGCACUGCAGCGCGAACUGGUUUCCUUGAGUACGCAUAAAGUGGGCGGAAUUCGUGGUGUAGCGGUGAAAUGCUUAGAUAUCACGAAGAACUCCGAUUGCGAAGGCAGCUCACUGGGGCGCAACUGACGCUGAAGCUCGAAAGCGCGGGUAUCGAACAGGAUUAGAUACCCUGGUAGUCCGCGCGGUAAACGAUGGAUGCCCGCUGUUGGGCCAACUGGUUCAGCGGCCAAGCGAAAGCAUUAAGCAUCCCACCUGGGGAGUACGCCGGCAACGGUGAAACUCAAAGGAAUUGACGGGGGCCCGCACAAGCGGAGGAACAUGUGGUUUAAUUCGAUGAUACGCGAGGAACCUUACCCGGGCUUGAAUUGCAGAGGAAGGAUUUGGAGACAAUGACGCCCUUCGGGGCCUCUGUGAAGGUGCUGCAUGGUUGUCGUCAGCUCGUGUCGUGAGAUGUUGGGUUAAGUCCCGCAACGAGCGCAACCCCUAUCCUCAGUAGCCAGCAUUUAAGGUGGGCACUCUGGGGAGACUGCCAGGGAUAACCUGGAGGAAGGCGGGGAUGACGUCAAAUCAUCAUGCCCCUUAUGAUUUGGGCUACACACGUGCUACAAUGGCGUAAACAAAGGGAAGCGAGAUUGUGAGAUGGAGCAAAUCCCAAAAAUAACGUCCCAGUUCGGACUGUAGUCUGCAACCCGACUACACGAAGCUGGAAUCGCUAGUAAUCGCGGAUCAGAAUGCCGCGGUGAAUACGUUCCCGGGUCUUGUACACACCGCCCGUCACACCAUGGGAGUCAGUAACGCCCGAAGUCAGUGACCUAACUGCAAAGAAGGAGCUGCCGAAGGCGGGACCGAUGACUGGGGUGAAGUCGUAACAAGGUA
rnacentral:rRNA from 1 species